rnacentral:tRNA from 1 species
GGGCCCGUAGCUUAGCCUGGUUGAGCACUCGACUGAUAAUCGAGAGGCCGUGCGUUCAAAUCGCGCCGGGCCCA